rnacentral:rRNA from 1 species
GGGAUAACACUGAGAAAUUGGUACUAAUACCCCAUAAUAUCUCAUGCGGCAUCGCAUGGGGUUGAAAGCUCCGGUGGUUGAUGAUGGGCAUGCGUUGUAUUAGCUGGUUGGUGAGGUAACGGCUCACCAAGGCGACGAUACAUAGGGGGACUGAGAGGUUAACCCCCCACAUUGGUACUGAGACACGGACCAAACUCCUACGGGAGGCAGCAGUGAGGAAUAUUGGUCAAUGGACGCAAGUCUGAACCAGCCAUGCCGCGUGCAGGAUGACGGCUCUAUGAGUUGUAAACUGCUUUUGUACGAGGGUAAACCCCGAUACGUGUAUCGGGUUGAAAGUAUCGUACGAAUAAGGAUCGGCUAACUCCGUGCCAGCAGCCGCGGUAAUACGGAGGAUCCGAGUGUUAUCCGGAUUUAUUGGGUUUAAAGGGUGCGUAGGCGGUUUGAUAAGUUAGAGGUGAAAUGUCGGGGCUCAACCCCGAAACUGCCUCUAAUACUGUUGGACUAGAGAAUAGUUGCGGUAGGCGGAAUGUAUGGUGUAGCGGUGAAAUGCUUAGAGAUCAUACAGAACACCGAUUGCGAAGGCAGCUUACCAAACUAUAUCUGACGUUGAGGCACGAAAGCGUGGGUAGCAAACAGGAUUAGAUACCCUGGUAGUCCACGCAGUAAACGAUGAAUGCUAAUUGUCCG